CUCUCUCAAUGAUCGCUCAACCAUAUGUGAUAGAUGAGGAUAAAAGGCUAGUUUUGGGUGUGGAAUUGAAAAAUCAUAGGUUCAAGGCCCAUACAAUGGCAUGGGCAAUCACCUCAGCAAUAGAAUGUUGUUUCUCUUCUCCCUCAGUGGUUCCUCAUUGAGCCUCUAUCUUGAUGGUCCCUUAUUGAGUCUCUCCCUUGAUGGUCCCUCAUUGAUCCCUCCGUCAGUUGUCC
rnacentral:lncRNA from 1 species